rnacentral:sRNA from 1 species
AGCAGCCGCGGUAAUUCCAGCUCCAAUAGCGUAUAUUAAAGUUGUUGCAGUUAAAAAGCUCGUAGUUGAAUUUCGGGAUUAAUUUACUGGUCGUGCUAUUGUACGUACUGGUUUUAUUGAUUCCUCCCUUCUGACGAACUAUGAUGUCAUUAAUUUGGUGUCUUAGGGAAUCAGGACUGUUACUUUGAAAAAAUUAGAGUGUUUAAAGCAGGCUCACGCUUGAAUACAUUAGCAUGGAAUAACGGAAUAGGACGUUUGAUUCUAUUUUGUUGGUUUCUAGGAUCGACGUAAUGAUUAAUAGGGAUAGUUGGGGGCAUUAGUAUUCAAUUGUCAGAGGUGAAAUUCUUGGAUUUAUUGAAGACUAACUACUGCGAAAGCAUUUGCCAAGGAUGUUUUCAUUAAUCAAGAACGAAAGUUAGGGGAUCGAAGACGAUCAGAUACCGUCGUAGUCUUAACCAUAAACUAUGCCGACUAGGGA